rnacentral:rRNA from 1 species
UAGGGAAUCUUCCGCAAUGGGCGAAAGCCUGACGGAGCAACGCCGCGUGAGUGAUGAAGGUCUUCGGAUCGUAAAACUCUGUUAUUAGGGAAGAACAAAUGUGUAAGUAACUAUGCACGUCUUGACGGCACCUAAUCAGAAAGCCACGGCUAACUACGUGCCAGCAGCCGCGGUAAUACGUAGGUGGCAAGCGUUAUCCGGAAUUAUUGGGCGUAAAGCGCGCGUAGGCGGUUUUUUAAGUCUGAUGUGAAAGCCCACGGCUCAACCGUGGAGGGUCAUUGGAAGCUGGAAAACUUGAGUGCAGAAGAGGAAAGUGGAAUUCCAUGUGUAGCGGUGAAAUGCGCAGAGAUAUGGAGGAACACCAGUGGCGAAGGCGACUUUCUGGUCUGUAACUGACGCUGAUGUGCGAAAGCGUGGGGAUCAAACAGG